AUGAACGCUAGCUACAGGCUUAACACAUGCAAGUCGAGGGGGCAGCAUGAGCUCAGUUUAUUCUGGGUUUGAUGGCGACCGCGCACGGGUGAGUAACACGUAUCCAACCUGCCGUCUACUCUUGGACAGCCUUCUGAAAGGAAGAUUUAAUACAAGAUGGCAUCAUGAGUCCGCAUGUUCACAUGAUUAAAGGUAUUCCGGUAGACGAUGGGGAUGCGUUCCAUUAGAUAGUAGGCGGGGUAACGGCCCACCUAGUCUUCGAUGGAUAGGGGUUCUGAGAGGAAGGUCCCCCACAUUGGAACUGAGACACGGUCCAAACUCCUACGGGAGGCAGCAGUGAGGAAUAUUGGUCAAUGGGCGAGAGCCUGAACCAGCCAAGUAGCGUGAAGGAUGACUGCCCUAUGGGUUGUAAACUUCUUUUAUAAAGGAAUAAAGUCGGGUAUGCAUACCCGUUUGCAUGUACUUUAUGAAUAAGGAUCGGCUAACUCCGUG
rnacentral:rRNA from 1 species